CAUUACCGAGUUCAUGCCCUUACGGGUAGACCUCCCACCCUAUGUUAUAUUACCUUUGUUGCUUUGGCGGGCCGCCCGGCUUCGGCCAGGCUACCGGCUCCAGCUGGUAAGCGCUCGCCAGAGGACCCUCAACUCUGAAUAUCAGUGUCGUCCGAGUACUAUAAAAUAGUUAAAACUUUCAACAACGGAUCUCUUGGUUCUGGCAUCGAUGAAGAACGCAGCGAAAUGCGAUAAGUAAUGUGAAUUGCAGAAUUCAGUGAAUCAUCGAAUCUUUGAACGCACAUUGCGCCCCUUGGUAUUCCGAGGGGCAUGCCUGUUCGAGCGUCAUUACAACCCUCAAGCACUGCUUGGUAUUGGGCUCCGCUGGCUCCAGCGGGCCUUAAAAUCAGUGGCGGCGCCGUUUGGGCUCUGAGCGUAGUAAAUAUCCUCGCUAUAGAGACCAGGCGGUUCUUGUCAUCAACCCCCAACUUUCUAAGUUUGACCUCGGAUCAGGUAGGGAUACCCGCUGAACUUAAGCAUAUCA
rnacentral:rRNA from 1 species